AGCAGCCGCGGUAAUUCCAGCCCCAAUAGCGUAUAUUAAAGUUGCUGCAGUUAAAAAGCUCGUAGUUGAAUUUCGGGACCAUCACGUCGGUCGUGCCUCGGUACGUACUGGCGUCGUUGGUUUCUCCCUUCUGACGAACCAUGAUGUCAUUUAUUUGGUGUCGUGGGGAAUCAGGACUGUUACUUUGAAAAAAUUAGAGUGUUUAAAGCAGGCUCACGCUUGAAUACAUUAGCAUGGAAUAAUGAAAUAGGACGUUUGAUUCUAUUUUGUUGGUUUCUAGGAUCGACGUAAUGAUUAAUAGGGAUAGUUGGGGGCAUUAGUAUUCAAUUGUCAGAGGUGAAAUUCUUGGAUUUAUUGAAGACUAACUACUGCGAAAGCAUUUGCCAAGGAUGUUUUCAUUAAUCAAGAACGAAAGUUAGGGGAUCGAAGACGAUCAGAUACCGUCGUAGUCUUAACCAUAAACUAUGCCGACUAGGGAUCGGAUGAUGUUAAUUUUUUAAUGACUCAUUCGGCGCCUUAC
rnacentral:rRNA from 1 species